UACGUAGGGGGCAAGCGUUGUCCGGAAUUAUUGGGCGUAAAGAGCUCGUAGGCGGCUUGUCGCGUCGACUGUGAAAACCCGGGGCUCAACUCUGGGCUUGCAGUUGAUACGGGCAGGCUUGAGUGCGGUAGGGGAGACUGGAAUUCCUGGUGUAGCGGUGAAAUGCGCAGAUAUCAGGAGGAACACCGGUGGCGAAGGCGGGUCUCUGGGCCGUAACUGACGCUGAGGAGCGAAAGCGUGGGGAGCGAACAGG
rnacentral:rRNA from 1 species